UGGCAUCAGUCGGAAGUAUGAUCCAUGCACACAGCAGCACUCAGUUGUGUACUACAAUCUACCUGAGGUUCAACAAGCACUUCAUGUUUACGUUGAUAAUUCAACAUUUAAAUGGGCAACCUGUAGGUAUAGCUCUUUCUGAAGAAAUAUUCAGAUACCAUUAUGAACACUGCAUCCUUAGAUUGCGAAGAUAACUCGUACUAAUGAAAGAAUUCCAUCGAUUCUUGAUCAAGGUUACUAUAUACAGAACAUGCUAGACUAAAUUAAUAGAGAGACAUGCUAAUAUGAAAUCGUGCAACGAUCGAGAAGGAGUUUUGUGUAAAGCACUUUUCAGAGCACUGCUCACAUAUUUAACUAACUUAUAAUAUGAGCAUCCAUGCAUCUAAUGGUUGUAAAAAGUACUAUGGGGGAGAAUUUUCUAGAAAAUUAGCUUGUUUGAUAAGUAAUUCUAGAAUAGUAAUAUUCAUGGGCAACCCAAGGGUAGCGUAUUUGGUAGAUGCUUUCAUGCACUCUCACAGGAGAAGUCUCAGGGGGAGGGUCAUAUAGUUGUAGGCUUUCCCAGUCUUUCAAAGGUUGGCAAGUGGGGUUUGUGCAUCAUAAAAUGUCACAAGAACUGCACCUGAAGAACAUUCAAGAAGCCACAUCCGAAGUUCCAAGAAAGUCACAAAAUGGCUUCCCUACUGUUAGUUAAAGAUAGUUCAACAAUUAUAAAAUUAGGUGAUCAGUUAAAGCACAGAUGCAAGUUAGUUCACUGUACAUAAGACCUAAUAGUGUUUAGUUAAUCAAGUGUGAAAAAUGUAUAAAAAACAAAGAAAUAAAAAGGCUCCAAUAUUUUCUUUCGAUCUCUAUCUUCAAAAUUUUCACUUCUAACUAAUUUAAUCUUUUUUUUUUUCGAUACUAUGUGCGCCAAGCUCAUUGGUGGAAAUGUUGAAAUAUCCUUCUGCGUUUAUCAAAUAGCCAAUAUUUCAUAACUAUAUUGUGAUAUUUCAUCUUGUAUUUAUAAAUAAUUUUCUUUUGAAAAAUAAAGUUAUUUUUAAUUUUCUUCUGAAAAAUGAAGUUAUUUUCAGAAAAGUAAUUGAUCCACAAAUAUACCCCCUCCAAAUGAUAAUACAUUGGGUUAGAUCGAUUGAUGUUUUGGAAAUUUUUGUUGCUUUGUCGAAUACUCCAAAAAUGAAAAAUUAAAUUAAAAGAGAAUUUAUAAAUCUAAGCAAGGUGGUAUUAUUUAAUUUUAUAGGGUUUUAUUUCAACAUAGGCAUCCAAAAAUACAAAUACAUAAUUAGAAAAUAGGAGAAGACAAAAUGGAAUGAUAUGAUAUAAAAGACAAUAUGAAAAGGAAGAGCCAUUAUAAAAGAACAUUUAUAAGCCUGGAAACUCACAUGCAAUGUGGCAGAAAUGAUGGGGAUGUUUGAAGAAAUAAUGAGGACCACCACAAUGCAAUAUUUCCCUACUCUAAAGCGAGUAAAGAGGAUCUGGACAAGCUACCAUCUUCGAUAUAAUUCACCUUGUCCUAUUUUACAUUAUUAAUCUGGUCCCCUUUCAUACACUAUCAUAUUUCCAGAAAGAAAAAAGAAAAAUUUUCUUUUGGAAGAAAAACUGAUACUGCUCUCAAAUAAUUACAUUCUACCUUCAUCAAUGGUAUCUCUGUCAAUCCAUUUAUUUUCAUAAAAACAUGACUAUGAUCUUUGUGCAGGCUCAAUUUGUACCUUUCUUUUCCAACAUAAAUAAAAUCAAAAUUGAUGAGGUGGUAAUUGGGAAAAGUAGGACAACUUUUGUUUUUUUUUUUUCUUUUUUAUAACUCUUAUUUAUGUUUUAUUUUGGGAAACUAUUAAGAAAAAAAAUCACAAAAUAUAUAUAAAUAUAUAUUUCAUGUUUUUUAUUUAUUAAAAAUAAUUAAAAUUAACUAAAAACUUGUGAAGUCUUAAAUUAUUUCAUAUUUGUAGAGAAGAGUUGAAAUAUAUGAAAUAAAAUUGAAGUUGUACAUAAUAUAUAUAUAUUGAUUUUAAUUUUUUUUUUUCUUCAUUUUCUUUCUAAGGAAAUGUAUAUUUUCAUACACUCAUAUAAAAAUAUAACAAAAUAGGAAUACAAGCUUAUGAAAUACAAAUUUCAAGCAAUUAUUUAAAAAUAAUUAGCAUUUUAUGCACUUUUUGGUGAAAGGUACUAUCUUUAACCAUUCAAGUAUUACCUUCUAAUGAUAUAAGUACUACCUUUAACCAUCUUAUAUAUUAUCUUUGACUAAUGAGUACACGAAACUUAAAGAAUUAUUUUUAGAGAGUUUCUAUUUUGUGAUUAUUUUUAAAGGAUUGCAUGAAAAGACACUUUUUCAAUAAACAUGGGUGUAGAGCUAACUAUUCAUAACCAUGCAUCAUGUAAAUCCAUUGAUGCAAAAUAAAAAAUAAAAAACCUAGUGCAAUAACCAUUUGGAGCUUGUCUUCUUUGGUAUCCUUUGUUUUUGCUCCUUUUUCUUGUCACCUCCAUUCUUUUCAAAGGAAGAAAAUGUUAAAAAGGAGAUCAAUAAAGAAUAAAAUAUAGAGAAUGAAAGGCUUCUAAUGAAGUGUGACAAUGGGGCUUUAUAGUAAGAAGUAUAACUAAUAUAAAAACAAACAAUAAAACAAAUAACAUAAAAAAGUUCUUCAUAAGUAAAAAAAGCUAAUAAUAAUAUAAAAAUAUUUGUUUUCUUUUAAUAAUUAGAAAAACUACAAGUAAAAAAGGUAAAAUUAUAAAUAUAUCACUAUACAAAUGUGAUAGGCCACUCUGUUGAAAGGUUUUUCUCAAACUUCUUUAGAUAUUUCUUGUCAUUUCUUUACUUCUAAGAAAUAUAGCUAUAAUCACAGCUAAAAUAUGACUAGGACUGUGAGCUAGGAAUUAAUUAGUUUUCAAUAUCUUAUGUAAAUUUAGUAAUUAUUACUCCUUAACUUCCACAUUAACCUAAGCAUUGAUCAUCAACAAUUUCCCUUGUAAUUUUCAUAAAAUGGAAUGAGUUAGGGUUAUGAACUUAUAGUCUAUAAUAUGAUGAUCGAAUCGACUCCAUGAUUAUCAGUUUAUUCCAUACUGGACUAGAUUGGAAUAGUGUUAUAUACAUUCUCAUUAUGAGAAGAGGUGAUCAUUCGAGCGUAUCUAAAUAGAUACUAUGUUUACAUAUGAAUCCCUACAUUGUUACAUUCCAUUUAGGAUUAGGAAUAGGCGUAAUAAGACCUACUUUUUUACAUAUCUCUUGUUAUUUGGGACCCUAUUCACCCCUUUUCUUUUUAACCGUUCUUUUAAUUCUCUUUUGUUUCCUUACAUUAGUCCCACAUAUGCCUUAGCAAAAAUAUUCAUACCUAGAAAUCAUGAUUUUUAUUUCAAUAAAAAUUUUCUAUUGAAUUUUCUUGGGAUUGAAUGUCAUUUUCCUUAAAUUUACUUUAGAUUUGCAGGGAAAAUGAUAAAUAAUAAUAAUAAUAAUAAUAAUAAUUUCGCCACCAUACCCUUCUUUUUUCUAUAAACAAUAUUUUCUUCUUCGAAAACAACAUCCACUCUUUUUUUUUCCCCUCAAUAAUCAUAGUCUUAACAAAAUUUGUCUUUCAACCUCUUAAUAGAGAGAAAAAUAACAAAUUAUUUUUUUUAUUAACGUAUCAAACUAUUUUGUUUUUUAAAUUUCAAAUAAUUUUUUUAUUAAGUUGCCUUAUAGUUGAAUGUAAUUAAAAUAUCAUUGAGAUUGAACUUGAAAUUUAGCCUUAUAGUUGAAUGUAAUUAAAAUAUUAUUGAGAUUGGACUUGAAAUUUAGCCUCAAAUCAUGGAUAAUACUUUUAGGAUUAAUAUUGAGUACUCAAUUAUAUUAGUGAAUACUUUGAGAAUGUUCAAUAUGUAUAUAGCACCAAUGCUUACAAUGACUUUGAGAUAUUAUCAUAUUAAUAGAGGGGCUAGAGUAGUUGACAUAAUUGGGGAGAAAACAAAAGGAAAGGAAAAGAAAAGAAACGAAAUCAAAGAAAGAAAGUUUUGAUAAUAAUAAUAAUAAUAAUAAUAAUAAUAUAUAUAUAUAUAUAUAUAUAUAUAUAUAUAAGGAAAAAAAACUUAAGGUCCUUGUUUAGCCAAGGAAAAAGGAAGCCAAUGAAGACUGGAGCAAUUCCAAGAUGACGUUACGACUAAGGAAAAAACCAAACAGUAAGUUACAAAUGCAGCACAGCCAACAAGGCAUAAGAUGGAUUCUUCAGCAGCCAAUAGCCAUGCACAUGUCCAUAGCAAACCCCUCCUCUAUCCACAUAUAUUCCCCACCCUCAUUAAUUUCCUUAUCCUCCUCCACCUCCAAAACACCACAAAAAUGGCGCUGAGUCCGAAAUGGGUUUUUGUUGUUCAAAUCUUGUUGACUCUGAUCAAUCUGAAUAGAGCCACUUCUUCUUCGGACCCUCUUGUUCAGCAAGAGUUGGACAAGGUCCUUCAGCUCCCAGGCCAAACCUUUAAUAUCUCCUUUGCACACUAUGCUGGGUACGUCACAGUGAAUGAGUACACUGGGAGGGCUCUAUUCUACUGGUUCAUUGAGGCUGCUGAAGACCCUUCUUCUAAGCCUCUGGUUCUUUGGCUCAAUGGAGGUAGGCUUUUGGCAAACACCCUUGUCAUUAUUGUUGUCACUUUAUUAUUUUAUAUGUUGACUUCUAGCAAUUGGAUUGUUGUCUGGAAGAAUUUUGAUUAAAUGGUACUAUCAGUAUUUUGUCUGUACCCUACGUCUAUGAAAUAAUUGGGAGGGACUUGUUUGGGCUUUGUUUGGUUAUUGAGAAAAAUGAGGAAAAGGAAGGUAUUACCAAGAAAGUUUUUGCUGAUAAUUAGGUGUGUAAUUUAUAAUCAUAUGUCCUUUCCAGUUGUUCUUCCAUAAUGUUUUUUAUUCCAUGCAAUUGUAGAUAAGGAUGCAUGGUUUUUGGGUGGUGUUUCUAAUUUUUUUCUUUUUUGUGUGUGAUUCAAUAUCAAUCAUGACUAAUGGUCAUACUGAGAGUUUAAUUUUGUAAUUAUCCUUAAAAUUAGUUAAAAACUUAUUUGUUUUUAAAUUAUUUAAUUUUUAUAUAAAAGAAUUCAAAUAAGAUAAAUAACUUUGAAAUACAAUAUAAAAUUAAUUUAUUGACUUUAGAUAUAUUUCUUAUUUAUUAUUUACUUUUUUUCCUCUUAUUUUUAUUCUUUGUUUUUUGUUUUUCUUGCACUUUCUUAAACAUAACCUUCACGUUCAAAUAAUGAAUUCAAAGACUUUAUAUAUGUAUUAUAUGGUUGGUUAAAGAGAAAAGUGUGGAAAAUAAAUCCAAAAAUAUUCUAAAUAGCCAAAUACGAAAGUUCAAAUCCAAACUAUACCAAUUGUUAGUCUUAAGUCGGGUUGGUAGCUAACCCAAACCCCACCCAAAUUAGAAAAUAUCCAAACUAGGUCAACCCAAUUUGAUAUUCUAAACGUGCCCAAUCCAAACUCAAUCAACUUAAUCUCAUUAUUUAUUGUUUUAAAACUCAAGGUGAGUGCUGAGUUAGACUCAGUUUGAUAGUGUCAAAUUAAGAUUAGUUAGGUUUAGCAGGUCAAAUUUUGAUUGGAUCGAACUUAUUCUUAAUGUUUUUAUAUUUUUAUAUAUCUAUAUCAAAAUUUAAAUAAUAAAUAAGACAAUACUUCAUAAUAAUAAAAAUAAAAAUAAAAAUAUAUUUAUAUAUGCAUCUCUCUAGGCAAUUGAAAUAAUGCUCUAUAUAACCAUGAUUUUAUACUUUUCCUUAAAAAUAAAAAUAAAAAUAAAUUAAAGUAAAUAUUACUAUAUAAAAAUAUUAAAUAAGUUUCAAGUUACACUUAAAUUGUCUAAAGCUUGAUCCAAGUUGAACUGAUAGUAAAUGCAACAAAUCAAUGCGUAUUAACUUUUUUCAAUUUCAGUGACUGAUAUUUGAUAGUUUCAUUUGUUUGUUACUGCACUCAAACACAAACAAAUUUUUAUAAAUUAGGUUGUCUUAACCUGGAAUUUAUUUUUAUUUUUUUUCUGCAGGGCCUGGAUGUUCAUCCAUUGCUUAUGGGCAGUCGGAGGAAAUAGGGCCGUUUCACAUCAAGGAAGAUGGGAAGACCCUUUAUUUGAAUCCAUACUCUUGGAAUCAAGGUAUGAUUUCUCUCACCUUUUUAAUAAGGAUUGAGAAUGACUAAGCCUAAGGGCUCUUAUAAAAGGGUUUUCUUUUAGUUUAUACCAAUUUUGUUGGUAUUAUUUUUAUUAGUGUGAUUUUAAAGUAUUAUAAAAAAUAAAAAAGUGUCUUUAUAAAUAUAUAACAUACCCUUAGGUUCUCUUUGUUAAUUAGCAAUAGAACUCCUAAUUAAAAAUUAGAAUAUAAUUAACUUCUACAUUUAAUCAUCAUCAGUCUGCACGGUUGACAAAAUCAAAGGCAUAAAAAUAAUAAAUAAAUAAACAUAAACAACUAAGGUCUAAUGAUUAUUAGCGAAUUAUAGAAAAACUAUCCUAUCCGAUUAAUAAAUCACAUUUCCCAUUAGAUCAAGUUAAGUGCAUGUACUUAUUAUAAUCAAGGAUGAAAAUAUCGGUAAUCGCGGAUAUAUCGGUAUUUCGAUUUUAAGGAUAUAUCGAAGAUAUAUUGAAUAUAUCGGAGAUAUAUCGGCAGAUAUUUUGGAAAAAAAUAUCGGUAAACUUAAAAUUAUUAAAAACUCAUGAAAAUGUAAGGAAAACCUCAUAAUAAUAUAAUUAGAAGUAUAAUAGACAUUUUAAAGUUAUUUUAUUGAAAAUUUUGAUAUAUGUAUAACAUGAUUUAUCAUAUUUGAUAAUAAUAUCGUAUGCAUCGAUAAAAAUUUAAAUUUUAUAUGUGUACAUUUAUUACUAAAUUACAUCUAAUAUUAUGAUAUUUGAUUAUAAUAUGUCUAAUUUUAAAAUAUAUAUUAAUAUUAAAAUAUAAUCCAUUUAAUUCAAUUGUAUUAAACAAUAUAAAAUAAAUUAUGAUAUAUAUAUAAUUUUUUAAUAUUUAUUAAUUAUUAAUGAUAUUAAAAACAUUAUGAAGAAAAUUAUAUAAUUUUUAUAUUUUUGGUAAUUAAUUAAAAGAAAAUUUUGCAUUUAAUCAUAAAAUAAUUAUAAUUAAUUUGCUCUUUAAAAUAUUCUUUUAAUAUUUUAUUUAUAUAAUGAGUUUAAGUAUAUAUAAGUUUAGUGCAUGUUAUAUAACAAGGGCAAGUUAGCCCAGAUGGCAAAUGGAUUGACCCUAAACCUUUUGGUUUGGGGUUCAAAUCCCCUCGGAAAUGGGGGGAACCCGCGUUGACCAUGCUAGAUAUCACCGAAAUAUCGCGACAUUUUCUUCCUUGGUUAUAAUACAUUCACUUGUUUGCUUAAGAUCAACAACUCAAUGAUGGAGUAAAUAUAUCAUCCUAUCAAAUAGUAGCACCAGUGUAGGCUUAUUUUUUAGUAUCAUUGUACCACCAAUGCUAGAACACUUCCGAUUAACAAGGAACUCAAAGAAAAUCAUCAUUCUUUGCUUUGGGUUCAUUAAACAAUAAUAUGAUCUUUGUAUAAUGUUAUCAUGUUGAUUUUCAUUUUGAGAUCAUAUAUAACAUAGAAAUACAAAUAAUAAAAUAAUAAUAUGGAAUCUCUUUUAAAUAUCAAUACAAAACAAAUUGAAUAAAAUAAAAUUUCAAAAAUGGGUUAUGAAAGAGCAUAAUCUAAUAAUCUCCAACUUGCAUUCAAAACCAAUUGUACACCUAUUUUUUACCUUCUUUGCCUCAACAUUUUUUGUUAAGGCAAUUUUUGUUAUUGUUGCAUCGGCUCUUUUUAUUAUGUCAUCUAGUGAAAUCUAUGUUCAAUGUGUUUCUUCCUUUAAAGAGCUCCAUGCUCAAGAUCAUAUCCCAUUGCACCAUGUUAUCACAAUCAUGAUGAAUUUUGAUUGGAAGUUGAAUGGAUAGAAUGAUUUCAAGUUCUAGAAUGAGCAUACAAAUCCUCACUACUUUUGUAGCUAUAUACUAUGCUACCAUGAUGGUUUAUUGUAAUACGUCGCUUUCAGUUUCUCCAAUUUAUUAUUUCUUUACUAAGUGGCAAACACAACUCCAAAAGUAGGUAUUCUCACAUCAACACUUUAUUGCAAAUUAGUGUCCAACAUCAAAUAAUUAAAGAAAAAAGAGGAGAAGGUCGAUUGAAAAUUGACAGUUGGUUAUAGGAGUAAAUAAGCUAUCAAGCCAUAUAUAGCAAGCCUUUCAAUAUGUACAACAAGUGAGCAAUGUCAUUCCUCACUCAUUGGGAAGCCAUGUGCAACAAGCCUUGAGAUAUAUACAACAAUUGUCAUUCCUUAAUCAUUAGGUUGAGCAACGACCAUGAGAUAUUCGUGGAGAAAAUAUGAUAAUAGGAAAUCCUUGUGAUAACAAUUUACAUUCCACUAGGUUUGCAUGCAAUAGUUGUUUAUCAUUCCCCCUUAAGUUAGUGAACAAAAUUUUAUGAAAUCCCAACUUGUAAAAAAAAGUUAAGAAAAUUGAAUCAUAGGCAAGACCUUUAUAAAAUGUCAACUAUUUGAAGAUUUAUAGGUAGAAAUUGAGUGACUAAAACACCAAAUAUAACCUUUUCUUGAACAAAAUGGUAGUGAAACUCAAUAUGCUUAGAGCAAACAUAAAAAAUAAGGUUGAUGGUCGUAUAAAUGGAACUUUAAUCAUUACACAAUAAUUGAGGUGAUCGAGAAAGUGAAACUUCAAUAUCUUCAAGAAGAAAUCAUAACCAAUUGAUUUUCAUUGUAAUAGAAGUUGAUGACAAGUGCUAUAAUUGCUGUAGGAUUUAAGCUAAAAUAAACCAACAGAGCUGGUAUUCUGUUAAGAAUAUUCUGCAACAUAAAGGAACAAUUUUUAUUUUAGUUUGAAUUUUUUUGAAUUCAUAUUUGACUUAGUAAUGCUAUUAGAAAUCUGUUGAAGAUUUGUAAGCAGAUUUUUUUGGCUUUGUUUGUUUAUUUUCUUGUAUAAAUUCAAAUUUUGCAGCAAUGAAAGGUGUGCAAUUUUCAGCCCCAAAUUUUCUGUGUUUUCUAUUCUUACUUUAAAAACCUAUAGAAGCUAAAUGUCAUGGACUUAGUCGUUUCCUAAGCUCGUGCGGCACUUCAACAAGUCAAGAUGCUUGAUCUUGCUAAGUCAGUCUUACUCCCAACACUUAGCUUGCUAGGCUAAAAUGCUCACGACUCGAAAGCUAGAGAAGAUUAGUAGGCAACUCUUUAAAGAAUGGAAGCUCUUAUUAACUCAAGGAAACCUUUACAAGUGCUUGGAAGCUCACUUGCUUGGUUAGGAAGUGAUUUGGGUGGUGCCUUGACCAAAUGAGGGUCUCACCUAUUUAUAGGCACCAAUGGAACUCUCUGGAACCUUGGAGGGUUCUUUACAGAUAAAGAAUAUUCUAGAACUCCCUACACUAAUCUAUGUACAACCUUAUGUACAAGAAUAUACAAGAAAUCUCUAGAAUUCUCUAGAAAGCCCUAGACUCCUCUCAUGCCUUCCACCAUAGUGUAGAGAUGUGUGGACUUUUUUAGACAUCUCUAGAACCUUCCAUACUCUUCCCACUAAUGGCUUAGUGUAUAUGGCUUCAGGAAUCUCCAGAAGCUUUCUAGGCUUAUAUAAGCCCAUGGGGAGGGUCAUUUGAAGCAUCCUGUGACACUCACCCCCACCUAUGCCGUCGACGUCCUCGUCGUUGCCUCUUUCUGAAACCUCUCGAUGUGUUUCCAGAACCUUCUCAAGGCAUCCGCAUGUUCCCAGCUUGUUUGUCUCUUAGGUAGUCCUUUCCAUUAGACUAGAUACCCUAUCAUAGGAGGGACCCCUUGUCUCCUGGUGACCCGUUCACCUAGGACAUUCUUCACCUUCUUCUCCUGUGAGGCCUCAGAUGGAUGCAGACCUAUGCACUUUCGAUGCUUAGAGUGCUGCUUCUUCUUACCCAUCGAGUUCACCUUUCCCUUGGUGACCUCGUCCAUAUGUGUGUGGGCUACCUCAACUCGCUCCCCUUUUGCCGCCUUUACUUGCACCCCUGAUAGUAAGGAGGUCUUAGGCGUACCAAGCUUUGGGUUGAAUUGGAGGGCACCUAGUAGCUGCAUCGAGCCCAUAUGUGUUUAGUCCUCCUGUUCCUUCUCCUCGAUCAUGGCAUUGAGCUUCUUCCUCUUUAGACAAUUCCGUGCCCAAUGUGGACCAUCACAUAGGAAGCAUUUGAUUUUAGGCAUAAACUCCUUCCUUUCCGCCUUACCCCUUCCUUCUCGGACGUUAGGCGUCUUGCCUGAUCCCAUUCUAGCAGCAUUGUGGUCCAUUAAGACCUCGUCUCCCCCACUCGUGGCAUGGCUAUCCUCCAAAGACUCAACCUUGGAUGAGUCUCCCCUCUUGUAAUCUGUUAGAGACUCUGCUACUGCCAUAGCAGUGGCUAAGUCUUGAACGCCUCGGCACCUUAAUUCCUGCUUGGCCCACCCUUGCAGGUUAUCCAUGAAGUUGAAUAGCAACUCCUCUUCAAUCAUGUUAGGAAUCUCAAGCAUGAGUGAAGAGAAUUCCUUGACAUAGUCGCGUAUCGAGCCUGUGUGCUUGAGACACCUCAUGUUUUUCCUAGCCAGGUAAGCCACAUCCUCGGGGUAGAACUGCCUCUUAAUCUCCCUCUUGAAGUCUUCCCACGUCUCUAUGGUGCAAUUGUCUUUCUUCAUAUCAGCAAACCUCUGAUGCCACCACAGAGUAGUUGUGUCAGUAAGCUAGAGGGUUGCAGUUCUUACCUUAGUCGCCUCAUCAGUCAAUGCGAUAGCCUCGAAGUAUCGCUCCAUAUGCCAUAAGAAGAUAUCCAACUCCUUGGCAUCCCGCUUGCCACUAAACCCAUGUGGCUUCGGCACCUCCACCCUAGAUGCCUCCUAUGUGGCCAUGACCCGUGCCAACACAGCAGCCUUGUAGAUGCUCAACUCCUGCUUAACCUCCUAGUCUUGGACUCCAUUCGAGUGGCCAAGGCCUCUAUCCUUGACUCCAUGCUAGCAAGCAUGCUCAAGACCUUUCCUUGGAAGGACACAAACUCCUCGUGCGACACUGGCUGAACCUGUGAGACUAGCACCCUCUCACGAAGGUCUUGGAUUUGCUCCCUUAGAUCCUCUAAGCCCUUCUCCAUGCCUUGCUCGAUCAAGUCUAACCCCUCCCGAGUGUCCGCCAUGGCUAGCUCCACCUUGGCUAACCUUGCCUCCAUGUUGGCAACGGCAUCACGAGAUUUAUCCUUCUUACCCCUGCCCCAUGCAGUAGGCUCAGUCUCCCUCCCACGGGUUUGCUCGCUAGUCUCCUCCACGUUAGAGCCCGACAUGCUUCCUUUACUAUGCCCACUUGGUAACUACGCUCUGAUACCACUUGUCACGGACAUAGUCGUUUCCUAAGCUCGUGCGGCACUUAGACAAGUCAAGAUGCUUGAUCUUGCUAAGUCAGCCUUACUCCCAACACUUAGCUUGCUAGGCUAAAAUGCUCACGACUCGAAAACUAGAGAAGAUUAGUAGGCAACUCUUUAAAGAAUGGAAGCUCUUAUUAACUCAAGGAAACCUUUACAAGUGCUUGGAAGCUCACUUGCUUGGUUAGGAAGUGAUUUGGGUGGUGCCUUGGCCAAAUGAGGGUCUCACCUAUUUAUAGGCACCAAUGGAACUCUCUGGAACCUUGGAGGGUUCUUUACAGAUCAAGAAUAUUCUAGAACUCCCUACACUAAUCUAUGUACAAGAAUAUACAAGAAAUCUCUAGAAUUCUCUAGAAAGCCCUAAACUCCUCUCAUGCCUUCCACCAUAGUGUAGAGAUGUGUGGACUUUUUUAAACAUCUCUAGAACCUUCCAUCUUCUUCCCACUAAUGGCUUAGUGUAGAUGGCUCCAAGAGUCUCCAGAAGCUUCCUGGGCUCUAUAUAAGCCCAUGGGGAGGGUCAUUUGAAGCAUCCUGUGACAUAAAGCCCUAUACUUAGAUUCAACACUCAAGAAAAAUACUUAGGCUGCUUUUUAGAAGAUCAAGAUACACAAUUAUGCCUUUAAAUAUGCAAUAAUCAGUGGUGCUUCUCCUCAUAGCAACACAACCAACCUAAUCCGCACUAUAAAAAAUAGACAACCAUAAAGCAUUUUAAGCUAAAUAAAGAAUGUCAUAAUCCAUGGUUCCUUUUAAGAUAACAAAGAACACUUUUCAUUACUCAAAUAUUACCUUCAUUUGGACUUUUGAAAUGUUGACAUACCUUGUCCUAUACUAUGUGUGGUCAUGUGAAUGGUAGAGAUUAAAGGGGUCCAACUAUUUUAUACAUUGUAGGUUCUACUAAGUUGGCAUCACUAGAUUGAGGUUGUGGUUAGAUGUAUUCAAAUUAGAAUAAUCAAGUAUCUUGGCAUGACUCAACAAGUCUUUUAUGUAUUUUAGCUUUUAAAGAAACUUUAAUUAGUCAAGCUAUGAAGGUUACUAUAAUUUGUGUAGCUAGACCUUGAGAACAUUCACUUAUGCUAAUUCAAAUAUAAAUGAAUCUUUUAUACUUAAAGGUGUUGAUGUUAUUAGACCUAAAGUUUUUAUUAUAAAUGAUCCAUUUAGUUCAAAUGACAUCAAUACCUUUAGAUCUUUGAACUAAAGUCCUAGUUUAAUUUUGAUAUAUGGCUUGAAACUUAUCUAGCAUCAUGGAAUGCCAUUGUGGCUACUUUAAAGCUACCCUAAAAGUUUUGGGUUCAAUAAUAGUAGUGGUAGGGUAGUAGUAAGGGUUAUUUUAUGUGUAAUAUUUGAGUUUUCUUUUAGCACAUGUCAUGUGAUCUAAUAGUGCAUAUCUUUAUGGCGAUAUUGGGUAAUAUGUGAAUGAAUUGUGUGGUUGUUAUAUCUACUUUUGGAAUAUGGAGAUCAAUGAUAAGAUAAUGGGUGAUGUUAUUAGGAUCAUGAGCUAUAAUGGUUGGAGAUGUAGAAGUAAAAGUUGUUGCUUAUUGAUUACCUUCAUGAUUGGUAAUAAGAUUUAGCUUGUUAGGACAUGCAUGGUGUGAAGAAGCUUCAAGUUAUGAAUAGUAGAAACAACAUCAUCAUAACAAGUCUAUGAGUUUUAUUAAUUGUCUUUUGGGACCUAAGGCAUGGAGUUAUAAUUAGAAGGUUGUACUUUUUAACUGAGAUUUAAAUUUUGGAAGGUUCAACAUUUUAGAUUAUGUUUACAUAGAACAUCUUGAGAAAACAUUAUCAUUGAAAGGAAAAUAAUUCUCAAUCGACAAUGUUAUUCUUUAAUAAAUGUGAAGCUAUAUGCAUCUAGCUUUGUAUCUCUGUGUGUGUGUUUAUGUGUGUAUGUAUGUGUGUAUGUAUGUAUGUAUGUAUGUAUGUAUAUAUAUAUAUAUAUAUAUGUAUGUGUGUGUGUGUGUGUGUGUGUGUGUGUGUGUGUGUGUAUUCAUAGAAAGUUGGCCGCAUUACUUCUCAAUCAUUGGGUUAUGUGUGUGUGUGUGUGUGUUUGUGUGUGUGUGUAUGUAUAUUCAUAGAAAGUUGGCAGCAUUACUUCUCAAUCAUUGAGUUAAGCAUGACUUUGAAUCAAAGGUAGAAUCAAUGGCCACCAAAGAAAAAAGUUUGUGGUGUUUAGUUUGCUAGAAACAAGACUAGCACACUUAUAAAAAGCUUAUAUGCUAAAAUUGGAUUCAUUUAGAUAAAGAAAUAAGGAAGUUUUGUUAGAGCUAAUUGUAUUCUUUGAUACCUUGAUCAAGAUUUGAAGGAGCUAGACAAUAAUCUAUCUAUAUAUUUUAUGCUCAAAAUAUUGGCCAUGCAUUGAUAUGUACACGAAGAUACAAAACAAUAGUAGAAAUAGUAAACAAUUGAAAAUUGACUAUGGAUUGUGAAUGUAAAUCAAGCUAUCAAGUCAUAUCAACAAGCCUUGAGAUAUAUACCACAAGAGUAGCAAUAUUGUUCUUCAAUCAUUGGGAAGCCAUAUAUAGCAAGCCUUAAGAUACAUACAAGUCAACAAUGUCAUUUAUCAAUUAUUGCUUCAAACAAUACUUGUGAUAAUGCUUUACAUUCCAUAAAGUUUGCAUGCAAUAGUUGUUCAUCAAAGUCCUCACUACUAAAUAUUAAAAGAAAGUGUUUUGUUCUUUUCAAAUAUUUGAGGAUGUGUUUAAUAGUUAUCCAAUGUUCAAGUCCAAGAUUGGAGUACUAUCUAUUUACAAUACCGACCACAAAAUUUAUAUCUAAUCUUAUGCAUAGCAUUGCAUACAUGAGACUUCCUAUAGCUAAAGUGUAGGGGGAAUUCCUCAUUCUCUCUACAUGGGUUUAGGAUACAUUUGUUUAGAGAGAUGAAUUCCAUGUUUAUAGGGUAAAAAAUCUUUUUUGGAAUCUUGAAUGCUAAAUAUAGUUAAUAUCUUGUUAAUGUAAUUAGUUUGAUUAUUCUUUUACUUUGGUCUCUAAACACUUUAAUUUCUAGUAUGUAGCAAAUUCUUCAUUGCAAAGUGAUAGGAUAACUAUUGUUGUAUCAUUUCCAAUGAGUAAUAUGUCCUCAAUAUAAGAAGCAAAAUGAAAUAAUGCUCUAACUAACCUUUUUGUAUAGAUAAAGACUAAUUCAUAUUUGUAUAAAAUCAAACAAUUUGAUUGCCCCAUCAAAUAGAUGGUCCAACUAUAGAGCUUAUUUGAGUCCAUAAAUAAACUUCAUCUAUUGGUAGACUUUAGAUGCUUUUAAGAAAAUAUAAAGCCUUCUUAAUAGUCCAUAUAAAUCUCCUCUUGAGCAUUUUUAAUCAAGAAAGUAGUUUUAAUAUUCAUUUGUCAUAUCGUAUUAAUCAUUUGUAUGCAACAAUUAAUAACUGGAGAAUCUUGAUUGAAUAAUAUUCUUGUUUAUUUAUAUAAAAAAAACAUUGGAUAACUAGACAUAUAUUUUCAAGUAAAAUAUACUUUUUUUAAUAAGAUUGAUAUUAUAAGAUCAAUAUUCUUGAAAGAAUAUUUGCGACAAGUAUAUAGUUUAGAUAGUUGUUUUUGGAGUAUAAAUUUAAAGAUUCAGCCUUAAUAUUUUUCUUUCUCAAAGAUCAAAGUUUCAUUGUGAUUCUUACCACUUAUAAGCACAACUAUGUCUUUUUUUUUUUAAACUAUUUUGUAGCUGCCAACAUUCUAUUUCUUGACUUCCCUGUUGGAGUAGGCUUUUCAUAUUCAAAUUCUUCCUUUGAUAUAUCAAGCAAUGGAGAUCUAAGGACCGGUAUGACUUUUAACCUUUGUAGAUAUCAAUGUAUUGGUUUAAAAUAUAGGCCAUAGUUUCUAUGAUGGUAUACUUAUAUCUAAUGGUCAUUUGAUUUUCAGCUAAGGACUCAUUAAAAUUUUUAUUGGAGUGGUUUGAGCGUUUUCCACAAUAUAAAGGAAGGGACUUCUACAUUACAGGAGAGAGUUAUGCAGGUUUGUGAUGAUACAUCUAAUUUUUCUUUCAUUUCAUUCUAUUAAUUUCUUUUGGAUGUUACUACAUCAAACUGAACAUGGAACCUUUCAUGUGAUGAAAUAGAAAAGGAGAAAAUUAUAGGUAACCAUAAUAAAAGUUAGAUUAUAAAAGUUAAAUGAGAAACACAAGAAAGUAAAGGGAGAAAGAAAAAUGGAAAAUUCUUUUAAUAAUUUUAAAUAACAAUAAUAAUCUCAAAUUAGAUUAUAACAAUAAGAAAGUCAUAUUUCCUUUCCAUCAUAACUCUUUUAUAAUCAUAGCUCACCUUCUUAAUUACCUAAUAUGCUUUGUGUUCUAACUCUAUAGGUAGAUGAAGUACUUUCCUAUAAACAACUCUAUAAGGAGACAUCCCAAGACUAGUCUUAUAAGUUUUUUCUAUAAACCCUCAAUAGGUUAGGUAACUUCCAACCCAAUCUUAAUGUUCACAAAUUUUAACAAAAUGUCUUCCUUUUAUAGUUUUCCUAGAGGAUAAAUAAAAGGGCCCUCAUAAAGUUAAGUCCCCAAUAAUCCAAGACUUCUAUAACUUGGACAUGACUCAGACAUUUGAUAUCUCUUGCUAAUUCUUUCUAGCUCCAGGUACUACAUACAACUUCUAAAAUGUAUGUUACCAUUUUCAAACAAUGAAAGCCAAGCAAAUUCGCUUUGUUUUGAUAUCUUCCUUGCAACAAGUAUUCUCUACAAGCUUUCUCAUGAUACAUAUUCAAAAUACUUCAUUAUUCUUCCUCGGUCACAUAUCUUUAAAAUAAUUCUACUUAGCCCUUAAUAGAAAUCGCUUCUUCUCAUCUCUGAUCUAAUCAAUAAGUUCGUAUUUACAUACUAUAUCUAUAGCACAAAGUAUAUGAUGUGGAAAAGUAUAUUAAGUUGUCUUCAAAUGUUGAGUUAAUUUUCCCUAAAGAGAUAGUCUAUAACCACAUUCUCUACUCUUUGUUUGUCCUUAAUAUGAUGAUUAAACUCUUGUGAUAGAAGAAUCCAUUGAAUGAACCUAGCCUUGUUGUCUUUUUGUUAUUCAAUAGAUAGUUAACGGCUGUGUAGUCUAUGAACACUACUAUAUGAUUCGUGCCCAAUUGGUGUCUCAGCUGAUUCGUGUCCAGCUGGUGCUCCUUGAUUGAGGGAGUAAUCAACAAAAUUUAUAACCUAUUACACCAUAUACUAGGGUAGCAAAGACAAAGCUACUAUAGCAUAGUGGCUCUAGGAUCGUUCACUGGGAUGGGUUUUCACUUCACAAAUGAUGUUAAUUCAAAGUUGAAUUGGUGUCUUUUCAUUUCAAGGUUAGCUUUAAAAGAAAACAUAAAGAUGUUUGAAUGAAAAAGGAUUGGUUUUAAGCUAACCAAAAAUAGUAACUGAUUUUACUUACAAAGAAAAAUGUUUCUUGGAGUUUAGAUCACUAGGCUCAGGUUCCUCAUACAAAAAGGGAGUUCCGGUCACUUGUUUCUUUUCCUCGCAUUAGAGAAUUAACAUAUAGUUCCUUCUCCAACCGGUAUUGUACAGAUGCUUCCCAUUAAUGGGUUCAAACACUAAAUCCCUCUCACUGAUGCACAUUGCAAUGGCUCAUACCUCUCACCUAGCACUUGCCAUUCAAGGUUAUCUUUAACCUUGGACUUCCCUUCAAACGCUCGCAAGAGAUAACUAAUGGAUGUCUCCUUGGAGUCCAAAAGCUUACCAAGUGUUGGCAAUUUCAGAAAAUCCUACCUACAAGUCACCUCCCAGAGGCUCGCAAGGGGUAAACUAGUGCAUCUCCAUGGUUGGAGAUCACUUGCCUUACCAAGUGUUGGCCCAGGUGACUCUAAGGUGUUUUAAGUUAACUAAAAAGAUAAAAACCAUUAACGGGUCACACUUUCUCUUCAUUAAAAACUAAAACAACAAAACUUCCAAAUUAUGCAUGUGGAAACUUACCCGGCUUUCCUUACUCCAAGAGACAAAAAGCUUAGCCUCUCAUCCUCUGAGGAAAAAUCCUCAAAGUUUGGUUGGCUAGAAAUAAAAAGAAAUGAAAAAUGAAAGAGAAGGAAAAACAGAGCAAGGCUCUGUAUAUUCUAUAUAUUGAUCGAUUGAUUACAUUGGAUGCAAGGGAGUUUAUAUAGGAAGGUAAUUUACCCUUCCUUGGAUACUUCCUAGCUAAGGAAUUACAUGAGUGGUUGAAUACAAGGAGAAAAUGGAAAUUUAGACACAAAAAUCUGAAGAAAAUAUCCCAAAGUGUCGGUCACAAAUAUCGGGAAGCACUAAGGACCAUUUCGCAGGUGAAAACGAGGUCUACGAGAUUUCGCAGACAUCCAAAAAGGGCUGCGAAAUCACUUCGCAGCAAAAGGCUGGUUCCGCACCGCUGCGAAGUUGGCUUUCAUCUUGUGGUGUUUGGCUUCCAUCGCGGCGUGAAACUUCAAAAGGGAAUCCACAACACUGUACAAAAAGGCUGCGGAAUUCUCGUAACAAAAGGCUGAUUCCGCAACACUUUGCAAAAUGCUUCCUUCAGCUUAGAGUGAUUGACUUGUAGUGGCUGUAACUUCUUCGUUUCAACUCCAAAUUGUACACCGUUUGAAGCAUUGGAUUUUUGACUUCCUGAGCUUUGAAAUGGUAUAUAGCAUGUAGAAAAUGGACUUCGGGAAGUGCUCCAAAAGUACACAAGAAGACUACAGCUGCUGUCCUCUGUUUUCUUCACUCUGUUUUUCCUCUCUCCUUGCUUCUCUCCUUGCAUACUUUGAACGAAUUUGGCAAAGGUCUAUGGAGCUCCAAAGCUUGGUUCUUCAUGAAUUUGAGCUCUUCAUUGCUUUGCCAUGGAUUCCAAAUAACUCUCCUCAAUCUUGGAUUGUUUUGGUGAUCAAAUUACUAACAAAAACACCAAAACUUACACAAUUUGAUUAGAAAUGAUUGCAAGGGUCCUUAACAUGUUAAUUGGGUUAAAAGGCAAUAACUACUACUCAAAAGUGUUUAAAAGAGUUAAUUACAAGCUAUCAAAUAGCACUUUUUGAGUAGUAAUCACUAUAGAAGUCCCAAGUAGGUAGUUUCUAAACUUGUCCAAGGCAAAUACAACAAGAAGCAACUCUUUUUUUCAAUUGUGCUAUAAUUCCUCUAUAUUUUGGUUAAUGUCUUGUUAGCAUAGUAGAUUACAUUUGAUUUAAAUUCUUUUCUUUGUCCUAGUACAACUCCUAACGCAUAAUCACUUACAUGAUACAUAAUCUCAAAAGGUGGUGCCCAAUCAAGAGGUCUCACAAUAGGUGCUAAUGUCAAUAACAACUUUAACUUCUCAAAAGCUUUUUGGUAGGCAUUAAUCCAAUUGAAUUCAACCACUUUUAGCAAUAGAGGAGAUGGUGAUUGAGAUAUCUUUGAGAAAUCUUUUAUCAAUCUCUUAUAAAAUCUUGUAUGUGUAGGGAAUUAUCUUAUUUCUUUAACAGUGGCAGGUGGUGGAAGAUUUAUGGUUAACUCCAUGCUAGCUAGAUCAACUUUAAUUCCGUCCCUAGCAAUGAUAUGACCUAACACCACUCUUAAAGUUGUCAUGGAUUGACACUUUUCUUAAUUUAGCACUAGGUCUUUUUCAAUUUAUAUCUCAACACUAUCUUCAAAUUCAACAAACACUCAUCAAAUGGUUUCUUGUAAGUUAUCAAGUCAUCCAUGAAUACUUUUGUAAUCCUUUCAAUCACUAAAAAUGUUGAGUAUACACCUUUGGAAACUAGUUGGUGCAUUGCACACUCCAAAAGACAUCCUCAAUCUUAUAAGCAUAGGUUCCAAAUGGAUAGGUGAAACUAGUCUUCCUUUAGUCCUCCAUUUUGCAAUUUAAAAAUAUCCUGAGUAGCCAUCCAAAAAAUUGUAAUACUCAUGUUCUGCUACUCUUCGUCAUACUUGAUCUAAGAAGGGCAAUGGAAAGCAGUCUUUCGUUGUUAUAACAUUUAGUUAUCCAUGUUCAAUGCAUACUUUCCCUCCACUAGUAAGUUUUUCUAGUAUGAAAUCACCUUUUUCAUUCUUCAUAAUAAUGAUUUUCCUCUUCUUUAACAUCACUUGAGUAGACCUCACCUAAGUGCUAUUAGAGAUGGGAUAUAUGAUGCCUAUAUCUAAAAGCUUUAGUUAUUCAAUGCUAACUACAUCUUACAUUAAAAUAUUAAGUCUUCUUUAUGGUUAUCAUGCAGAUUUGGAAUUCUCCUCCAAAUAUAUAUGAUAUAUACAAAUCAUUAGAAUGAUCACCUUCAAGUCAAAGAUGGACCAAUCCAUGGCUUCUUACAUUCUUUAAGAACCUUCUAUAACUUAUUCUCUUGUUUCUCAGUAAGGCAUAAAUCACCACUAAUGUCUAUUUUCCCUAAAAAAAGUAGACUUUAAAUUUUUUUUGUACGCAAAAACGUAAUUUUAGUUUUCUUUGCUUCCAUUUCUUCCCCUUCAUUCUUAGUUACUCUACUAAAAAAAGAUACUAAUGUCCACUUUCUAUAAAACAUCUACUAUUCCCCUUAGUACCCUAAUAGAUUGAUCAACUAAGGAUAUAGUGAUAGUGGUAUAUAUCGUUGAGCUCUUCUAAUCCCAAUUGCUUAUAUAUGGUGUAAAGUCAUAAGUUCAAACUAGCUCCUAAGUUAAGUAAGGCUCUUUCUAUAUAAGAAUAUUUAAUUUACACAAAAAUUGUAAGGCAGUCAAGAUCUUUAUAUUGAACCACUUUAUUCUCAAUGAUUGCUCAGUUAAGAAGGUCUUCUUGCUCAACUUAAUCUUCUGCUUCUUUGUGCAUAAGUACUUUAAAAUUUUUGCAUAAAUAGGAAAUUGCUUGAUCAUUUCCAAGAGACUUUAUUAAUCUUCGCUUGCUUCAACAACUCAAGCAUCUCAAUCAUUUGCUCAAUUCAUGUUAUGCUUCUUUAGUGGUGAAGGGAAAAUGAGGAGACUCUUGAUAGUAGUCUUCUUUGUUUCUUCUUACAUCAUGUCUUCUUUAUUCUAAACUUCUUUUUCUUUCAUAGUCUCUUUGAUUUUUCCACAAUUGAUUCAUGCUUUUGGACUAAUAUGUCAUCUCUUUUCUGCUUUAUCUCUUCCAACUUCUUCAUACUUCUUACUGUGAUCAUGAUCUUAACCUUUUCAUUCUUUCACAACUCAACUACCUCACAAGAAUUCUUUAAGCUGGAAAUUGCCCUUUCUCUAAGGCAAGUUAGCUAAAAUUUGGCCUAAAGUAGUUUAAAUAUUGAAGUUGGCUUGUUAUGUCUUAGUAUUAAGCCUCCUCAACUUUUCAUUAAUCUUCCCUAGUUAUUGUACAAACCAUUGAAUCAAGUUUUCCAUAUUUAAACUCGAAGGUGCUUGUUGAUUUUUUUAUACAAACCCUUGAUGUUCUGAUUGAGAUGUGAAUUCAAGAAGGAACUUGGUUUGACGUCAUUUGAGGAGCAUAUAGUUGUUGUCUAAUACAUUACGUAGUUCCAAACUGAUUUUCUUACUGUUAUACUAGUUAUUUGGUUGAGUUGGUUGCAUUUCUUGCUAAAAUUGAUCUCUCCCUCUCCAUGACAAGUAUGAAUGAUUUUUUCACCUAGGAUUGUGUGUGUUGGAGAAUGGAGAAUUUAUAUUACUCUAUUUAAAUGCACCAACAGCAUUGGCUUACAUACUAAAAAACCAUGUUUUUCAAUGCUAGAAUUAUUGGAUAGCUUGCUACUUCAGGCUCUUCUAAUUGAUAUACCAAACACUUCAUCAUCCCUGCUCUGUUCAUAGACUUCAUAUCCUAAACUCAUCUAGCUCCCAAGUCCUAUAAUCUUUUCACUAAUUUGGAUAUCUUUUCUUGAAAUCUAUCCCAUUAAACAAUUUGAAGAUACCAUUAGAGCUUGUCUCUCUAAAUAGCUCCUAGUUACAAGAUGUUCCCAACUCCUUAACAUGUCAGCCUUAUAGUCCAGAAAUUGAAGAACUUCAUUUGAACUUUUGCUCAUAAUAAUUGCUUCAUUUGGAGAGACAAUUCUUUCAUAAAAAUAUGAGACCAACCUCCAGUUGUCAAAACCAUCAUGUUGGUAAGCUCCUCCUAUCUUUUUAAACUGUUCUCAACAUACGAAAAACUUGUUCUUCACUUGUUCCAUGAAGUUUGAAAUCUCCUUCUUGAAUUAAAUGCUUUUCUAUGGCAAGAAAAUUUUCUAAAGGAAAACUAACUAAAAUUCAUUCCAGUUACUUGAUAUUAUUGGGUUUGAGAGUGUUCAAUCAUGUCUUUACCUUAUCUCUCAAUGUUUGAGGGGAUGACUUCAUCCUCAACACAUUCAAAGGCAUGUUUUUUUCCUAGAAUGUAAAACAUAUCUCUCCACCUCCUUGAUGUGUGUGUAUGGAUUCUUAUUCCCAUUUCCUCUUAAAACUGAAAGCAAGGGAACUAGUUGUGGUAUGAUCGUAAUAUGCUCCUAUAGAGUGAAAAAACACGAUGAAGGGCUCACCCUUAGAGGAUUUAAAUGCUCCCUCGUGGAUUAAAUUAUAGGCACGGAAAGGCCUGGGAGGCCCAUUAUUGUUUCCAUGCUAAUCCUUAUCAUUGUUGCUUGAACAAGUUAAUCAACUCUCUCUAGUCUCUCUACAAAGCCCCUUCUCCAACCAAGCAUAAAAUAAAAGAAACUCUAAGGAAAAAGAAAGAUAACUAAUGGAAAGAAACAAUUGAAUCCAAAAUUAAGCAAAAUUAAUCCUAAGCUGAAAAUAAGCUCUGAAAUAAGAAUAGCUACUAAAACCAACUUAAUCUUUAACCUCAACUACUAAACUGAACUAAGUAGGAAAUUCACUCUAACAUAUCACAACAGUAGCCGACACAAUUUCCUUAUCUUAAAUUAAUAAAAAGAUUUAUAGUAAAAAAAAAUAAAUAAAAAAAUAAAAAAUAAAUAAAAAUAAAUAAAAAAUAAAAAACCAGAUGUCAUCCUCUAGGACCAGCACAAUUGGCUAUUUGUGUUUUUGUUCAAAGUAAACUCACUAGUAGUGUUAAUGGAUUUAAGUCAAAUAAGAUAUGUAUGAAAGGUAUUGCCUUUUUUUUAAGCUAUCAAAUUGUAAUAAACAAAAUCAAUAUAAAAAAAGGCUUAAGAUGUUUCACAAUUUAUAUUUCAAGUAACAAAAUGAGAGAGAUACUAGUAAACUUAUCUAUUAUACAGAGAUUAAAAUCAAUCCAAGAGUGAAUUGAAUCUUAAGAUCAAUACAUGUAUGGAAUUCAGAUUUAAAUGUUAAAACACAGCUCUAAAACUUAAUCAAUGUGCUCUGCUACAUUUUGUUUCUUAUUACUUAGACUACAACCCAUCAUCUAUCUUGUAGCUUCUCCUUGGAUGCAAUCAUAGUAGAUGAAACCAAAUUGUCUAAUGGUCAAGUUUUCCACAAGAAUCAAUAGGACCUAGUAAGUAAUUUCAUAUUUUGUUUUAUCUCAAUGCAAAGGGAGAUAGUAUUUAAAGAAAGUAUAAGGUCUAACCAUCCAUCAUAACUAAGGGAGUCUACUUUGGCCUUCUUUGUUAUAUCACAUGAAUCAUUAUAUGGAUAUAUGUGUAAAUGUCAACCAUACAAGCUAGUCAAAGUUCUUGUAGUUAUUGCAGUAUUGCCUAUGGCAAUCUUAAUUCCAUUUGUUUUUCCCAAAAAUGAGUCAUUCUCACCCAUGCUCCCUAGUCACACAAUAGGGUCCUCAUUGAAUGUGACAUGUUGGAUUCUACUUCCCCUUAUGGGUCCUUAAAGGUUCUCAUUUAUGUACGAGUGUGUGUAGAUGAAGACUUUAAUGUGACCUUGGACUUCCUAAGGAAACAAGAUUUUGGCUAUUAGUAAAGAUUCGAACAUGAAACUCUCCCAUAUUUUGCGUUAAGGUUGGGGGUGGAGAGAUGGGUGACUCGAGUGGAUGAAUUCCAGUUGGUCAUAGCCUAUCAACUUGCAAUUAAGAAAAUGGUCUAACCAUCUUGGAUUGUAUUUCUGUCAAUGCGGAAUUAAAUUUUACCCAAAGUUCAUUAUGUGGAGUCGCUUUAUAAAAUUUUUUCACUUCAAACUAGGUGUUGGAUUGGAUGAUUUUCUACAGGCCAUGGAGGAAGAAGACAUAUAUGGAAAAAUUAUGAGAUAUGUUGAUGAGAGAUUUCAUUUUUCCUGGAAUAUGCUAAUAUGGUUUUUAAAUUAAUUAAAUAAAUAAAUUAAACUAUUAAAAUGUCAUGUGGAAAUCAAAAUUCAAUCAAAAAAGUAAUUAUUAUUAUUUUUUUUUUUUAAGGUAAAGAACCAAAAGGGAAUUAAAAGGAUUAAACGGGUGUAAAUGAAAUAAUAUAAUAUAUGCUUCAGAUUAGGUUUACUAGUCUCAAGUAGUGCAUAUAUUGCUGACCUUCGCAAAAGAUAAAAUAUUAACCAAGGUGUAUUAAAAGAAUACAUAACUUAUCAAUGAUUCAGUUAGCUCAAACAGAUAUAAUAGCAUCGUGUAACAAAAAUCUCCCAACUAGAGGCCCCAUCUUUUGUUUCUAGGAAUCAUGAACAUAUUUUUGAAGCGCUAAAAUAAUAAAGCUGCAAUUUCUAGGAAAGAGAACUUCCUUCUAUUGGAGCUUUUAGGUGUGAACUUGCGAAGUUGUGAACCAAAAGGUAUUGCCUAUCUUAUUUAAAAAAAAAUUGUGAAUCAAUUUUGCUCAAUUACCAAAUUGAUGUAGGUUAGAAAUGACGAAAAUACAGGUGAGAGAAGGAAUUAGGUGAGAAAAAAAAAAGUAGAAAUUGGAAGAUAAAUAUAUAUAGGAAAGUAUAGAGAGAAUAAAGAAAAGUUGCAAAUUGAAUUAAUAAUUUUCAAUGGCUACAAGUUACAUACUUUUUAUAAACAAUUGAAGAAACUUAAGGGAAAUAUGAUACCAAUAAAAAUACUAGCUAAAAUUUGAAAAUUAAAGUGAUAUGAAAAAAUGUUCUAACUUUGAUAAGAAUAAUCUCAAAGUACAUGAAUCUCUCUUAGCACCUACAUUUUUGGGCUAUAUAUAAUAAACUUGAAAUUGAUGGUCAUGAUCCUUAUCACUCAUAUUCCCCCUCAACCCCCUACUACUUAAACCAACUCUCAAAGGCCUUUAGGAUGAUACAUUCAUUUUAUUAAUCUAAUGUAUCAAAGAAACUAUUUCUUAUCCAUGUACAUGAUAGAGUUAAAAAAAUUUCUUACUUGAUAAUAUUUGCUCACCCAAACAAUUUUCUAUACUAUUAUUCCCACUUAUUUUCUGCUAUUUGAUCCAUAUCUGGAAUUGUCCUACUUGGUUUCAAUACAAACACUUAAAAAUAAAUUUUCCAAGCUAAUAAAAAUCCCAUUUUCUAGGUCUAAUUCACAGAAAAUUUAUUCAUGAUUGGUCAAAUCACAUAUCCUUUCAGUCGAUCUAUAGCUACAAUAUAUUUUGUGUUAUGAUAUUGAUUAAAAUCUGUGUCCCAGGGCAUUAUGUUCCUCAGCUAAGCCAAGCAAUUGUAAGGUACAAUUUCGCAACAAAGGCAAAGUCAAUUAAUCUAAAGGGUUACAUGGUAAGGUUCUCUUUCUAUUCAAUAUAAAAAUUAGAUAGCCAUUUUGCAUUACCAGCAGAAAGAAUUGACAAACCAAGAUAUCUGUGAUGAAGGUGGGAAAUGCUCUGACCGAUGAUUUCCAUGACCACUUGGGGUUAUUCCAGUUUAUGUGGUCAGUUGGUAUGAUUUCUGAUCAAACAUACAAGCUACUGAAUGUGUUUUGCGACUCCCAAUCAUUUAUACUGUCCUCAGAGUUGUGUGAUAAGAUUAUGGACAUUGCUAGAGAGGAAAUUGGAAACAUUGACCUAUACAGCAUUUUUACUCCUCCCUGCAGUGUCAAAAUUGGAUUUUCGAAUCAGCUGAUGAAAAAAUUGAUUGUGAGUCACAAGUCUUGAACUAUCUAGCUACUUUCAUAGUGUAUUGAAGCUCUCAUUUUAUUUUGACUAAAGUAAUUUUCAUGUUUAGGCAUGUUUUUCAUAUAAUAUAGGGACAUUUAGAAAAACCCCACCCUAAAUCUGGCCAAUUGACUCACUAAAUUUCUCGAAUGAUUUAAGCAUGUUUAUCUCUGCCAUUACUUUAUCUAAACCUUCAUAGUUUAAUUUGAGUUUUAUUUGUAAACACUUAGCCUUGAAUGGAAGUUCAGAACUUGCUUCAGAAGAAAUCUUCUAAAAAAAAUAGUUGUGACUUUUGAAAUGAUUUUAUCAUAUUAUUAAUAAAUGUAAUGUCAUCUGAUAGAUGGCCAGUGGCAUCAGUCGGAAGUAUGAUCCAUGCACAGAGCAGCACUCAGCUGUGUACUACAAUCUACCUGAGGUUCAACAAGCACUUCAUGUUUAUGUUGAUAAUGCAACAUUUAAAUGGGCAACCUGCAGGUAUAGCUCUUUCUGAAGAAAUAUUCAGAUACCAUUACGAACACUGCAUCCUUAGAUUGCAAAGAUAACGCAUACUAACAAAAGAAUUCCAU
rnacentral:lncRNA from 1 species